AUGAAGAAUAACCUGACGUUUGAGCAGCUCUCCAUGAUGUGUCUGAAGAUUGUUAAGGUCGUGACCCAGAUGGCCCUCCGCAUUCUGCUACCAGUGCUGGCUCGUAUCAUGGGGGUGAACCUGAGGAGUGGGACGACCUCCCCAGAAUCCCAGUGCUCUCUGACAGGGUCUAAGGACUCCUUGGACAGUCUGGAUGAGCGGGAGAAAAGGCUGCUGAUCAGUGAGAUGAACUACUGGACCAAGGAAAGGAGGAAUGGCAGGGCAGGGUGCCACGAAAAAUAUGUUGGCAGAACCAAACCACCAUGCUACUCCCCUAAGAGGGUCAUUGUUCCUUGUCCAGAUCUGGAAAAGGGUCCAAGGUCAAAGUGUGAGCUAGAGAUCAACCUCCCUGGUACUCCCAUCCCUGAUGAGGUGCCUGAUGAUUUGACCUUCCCCAUCGCCAGGAGCUCCUGCAUCGACAUCAGGGACUCUAUAAUGCAAGGGAUUUCUACGAGUGACCUAAGGACAAAGAUGAUGACACACACAGAUGAAGCCCUGCAUCGUAAUAGUCCAAGGACUGACAGUAACCGACAAUCGAGUGCCAAAGCCUCUCUUCGAUUCUUCACUCCCUCUUGCACCAGCAAGGGAACAUCCUUGGUAACAAAGGGAGUUGGGAUUGACAUGGAAGAGAAAGAGGGGUGCUACCCUAGCAGCUCUGGCCAUCUGAGGGAGUUAUUCAUCACUUCAGACAUCAGCAGUGCUACUGCAUUCCCUCUGCAGUCCUUGAUGGACUCCAGCAAAGAGGAUUUUAUCUGUUUGGUCACAAUACUGGUGAUAAGGUUGCUACCGAAGAUCGGUCCCUCAGCCCUAGAUGGACCUUCCCAACAGGCAGUAGACAUGACAGCAAUAUUUCAGCAGCUCAUCAGACAAGUUCUGUCUGAGUUCUGUGUUGCAUCUGGAUUCUCAAGGACACAGGCGCACCCUCAGGACCUGCACAUCCACACGGUGUUCAGAGGUGUACAUAAAAACCUCCUGGAUGCGUUUGGCUCUUAUAACGCCCUCCAAGCCACUCUGGCCUCCCAGGAUUCUGAAUUUGACAGAGUCCUGGUAAAAUCAUUGCCCAGCAGCUGGUGCAGGGAUCAAGGAGCCAUCAAGACCAGCAUCUACCGCCACAAACCCAGCAGACCAGGCUGA
rnacentral:lncRNA from 8 species